GAUGAACGCUGGCAGAAUGCUUAACACAUGCAAGUCAACUGUGGCGGACGGGUGAGUAACGCGUAAAGAACUUGCCUCAAAGUGAGGGACAACAUUUGGAAACGAAUGCUAAUACCUGAUACUGUGAGAGAGCUUUGAGUCCCAUUAGCUAGUUGGAGAGGUAACGGCUCACCAAGGCGAUGAUGGGUAGCCGGCCUGAGAGGGUGAUCGGCCAAAAGGGGACUGAGACACGGCCCUGACUGCUACGGGAGGCAGCAGUGGGGAUGAUUGGACAAUGGACCAAAGGCUGAUCCAGCAAUUCUGUGUGCACGAUGAAGUUUUCGGAAUGUAAAGUGAUUUCAGUUGGGAAGCGGUACCAACAGAAGAAGUGACGGCUAAAUACGUGCCAGCAGCCGCGGUAAUUC
rnacentral:rRNA from 1 species